rnacentral:rRNA from 1 species
UACGGAGGGUGCAAGCGUUAUCCGGAUUCACUGGGUUUAAAGGGUGCGUAGGCGGAUUAGAAAGUCCGUUGUGAAAUCUCUGAGCUUAACUCGGAAAUUGCGGUGGAUACUAUUAGUCUUGAAUACUGUGGAGGUUAGCGGAAUAUGUCAUGUAGCGGUGAAAUGCAUAGAUAUGACAUAGAACACCAAUUGCGAAGGCAGCUGGCUGCACAGAUAUUGACGCUGAGGCACGAAAGCGUGGGGAUCAAACAGG